rnacentral:rRNA from 1 species
GGGGCCGCACAAGCGGUGGAGCAUGUGGUUUAAUUCGACGCAACGCGAAGACCUUACCAGGCUUGACAUCCCCUGACCGCGUAUGAAAGUACGUUUUCACCCUCGGGUGACAGGGAGACAGGUGGUGCAUGGUUGUCGUCAGCUCGUGUCGUGAGAUGUUGGGUUAAGUCCCGCAACGAGCGCAACCCCUACGUUUAGUUGCUAACGCGUGAAGGCGAGCACUCUAGACGAACUGCCGUUGACAAAACGGAGGAAGGUGGGAUGACGUCAAAUCAUCAUGCCCCUUAUGUUCUGGGCUACACACGUGCUACAAUGGCCGGUACAGACGGAGGCGAAGCCGCGAGGCGGAGCAAAUCCGAAAAAGCCGGUCUCAGUUCGGAUUGCAGGCUGCAAUUCGCCUGCAUGAAGUCGGAAUCGCUAGUAAUCGCAGGUCAGCAUACUGCGGUGAAUACGUUCCCGGGCCUU